GGAGAGGUAGCUCAGUGGUUGAGAGCAUUGACUGCUCUUCCAGAGGCCCUGAGUUCAAUUCCCAGCCACCACA
rnacentral:tRNA from 1 species